UACAGGGGGUGCAAACGUUGCUCGGAAUCAUUGGGCGUAAAGCCCACGUAGGCGGUUCGUUAUGUCGGAUGUGAAAGCCCUUGGCUUAACCGAGGAAGUGCAUCCGAAACUGGCGAGCUAGAGUACGAAAGAGGAUCGCGGAAUUCCCGGUGUAGAGGUGAAAUUCGUAGAUAUCGGGAGGAACACCGGUGGCGAAGGCGGCGAUCUGGGUCGAUACUGACGCUGAGGUGCGAAAGCGUGGGGAGCAAACAGG
rnacentral:rRNA from 1 species